UUUUCGGCAAUGGUGGCAACCCUGACCGAGCGACGUCGCGUGAGUGUAGAAGGUCUUCGGACUGUAUAGCUCUGUUGGAAGGGAAAAACCGUACCAGUAGGGAAUGACUGGUACCUGACGGUACUUUACCAGUAAUCCACGGCUAACUACGAGCCAGCAGCAGCGGUAAUACGUAGGUGCCAAGCGUUCACCGGAAUUAUUGGGCGUAAAGGGAGCGCAGGCGGCUUAUUAAGUCUGAGGUUAAAGUUCGGGGCUCAACCCCGAGAUGCCUUAGAAACUGGUAGGCUAGAGUGCAGGAGAGGUGAGUGGAAUUCCAUGUGUAGAGGUAAAAUGCGUAGAUAUAUGGGGGAACACCAGUGGCGAAGGCGGCUCACUGGCCCGUAACUGACGCUGAGGCUCGAAAGCGUGAGGAGCAAAUA
rnacentral:rRNA from 1 species